CAUCUACUGGGCAGGGGUGCAAAAUAUCUGGAGUGCCAAAUGUUUUUGCCGUUGCUUUGCUCCCCCCAUUUCCCAGUUCAAUGCAUCCUUCCAACUGAGGAGCUGCGCCUUUGCCCAGGCAGACAGUGCCACAGAUUAUAACUCAUCUAAUGAGGGAAUGCUUCCACUUCAUAGAAUGACACAAAACUGGUGGGCCUGGAAUGUCAAGAUUCCAGUUUUGGACAACACUUAGGAAGAUAAAUAAGGAUACUAAUUAUCCUAAUUUAUUCCACAAUUAUUUUAAUUAUUAAUUGCUUCCUUCUUUCUUGCCUAUUACCAGGUCUUAGAGGUGGGAGUGUUCCCAAGUCCUGAAGGCAGGCUCUGCCCCCAGCAUGCUCCUGUGACUCACCAGGUUCAUCUUUAUCUCUUCCCACACCUUUCAUAACAAGACUUCCUUGAAGCUGUGGCAGUGCUUCUGGGGAUACAGGCAGUGUACAGCAGAGGCAGAGCAGCCUCCCUUUCCUAGGAGCAGGACAAAGAACUUACCAAGAGGCUCUUUGUUGUGACACAAAGACUCAGAACAUUACACAGUGUUGGGUUUUGGCUCCCUAAAUAGGCACAGAGAAACUGCAGUGAGCUAGAAAGCUGAAUUUUCUUAGCUCUCUGAGGCUGAGAGAGCUUUAGCUUCAUGUAUUCUGCUGUCAUUAUCUCACUGUAUCCUCUAACCUGACAGCGAAAAGCUUGCAAGUCUCUUAUCUGUUUCUUAUGAGGGAAAUGCAAGGAGAGAAGGAAAUACAGAACAAUCCUUCUGCUU